rnacentral:lncRNA from 1 species
AGCUGUGUUCCCCAACACAUAGAACAAAACCAGAAGCCAAAGAAACAUACAGCAAUAACCCAAUAGAGGAAAAGUUCCAAAAUUGCAGUAGAAAAUGUUAAGAUAGUUUAUAUAGCCUUGGGAGACACAUGGGUUAUUGGAUUUAAGGUAAAAGCACUUUGCUUUGUAGUCAUCUAAACUAAGAAAACCCUUGCAAUCUAGCGAACCAGAAAAUCUGGAAACCCCGGAAGUGCUUAUCUCAGAAGUGCUUAGAACCAGAAAAUCUGGAGCAUAGGAAUGUACGACCAAGAAAGCGCAUCCCACUAACAGAAACGAGAUGUUCAAGAAAGUGAUGUAAUUUUUGUACUUUGGUAAGAAAACUAAGGUACCCAUUAGAGAAAUUCAAAAUCUAAUCUAAAAUAAAAAAUAAAAAAAAAAGUAGAGAAAUUGAUUGAAAUUGAAUUUACCUUUAUGAUUGUGCUCCAGACCAAUUGGAGAAGAUCAUAAAAAUCCAAAAACUAGGGCAGAAAUUGAGGAAAAUAUACAAAAAAUAGAAGGGUGGAAAUUGAAAUGGAUGGAGGGUUUUUGAAUUUGGUAAAGCUUAAGGAGUUCAGGUUGCAGCUUUUCUUGUGGAGAGAAGCGGAAGAGACAGAGCAUUUGUAGCUUCCCUUCAGAGUUUCCACAUUGUAGGAAUAUUUGUCACUUUAUCCAAUGUACGGCCAUAGAUCAUGGAGGCUGCGAGUUGAGGUCACGUGUCGAAUGAUAAUGUCGUUGGGGCGCACAACCGUCCAACAAAAAGCAGUUCCCACGGCAUUCAAGCGGUAAAAACUACACGUAUGAAUUUGGUGGACGUCGGCUACCGCGCUGAGUUUAGCAUCUGAUCUGUUGAUGUCGGCUAUCACGGUGCGUUCAGAACGCACAUAUAAAGACUUUCGUUACACUUAGGGCUGGUUUGGUAUUGCGGUGCUUUGAAAAAAAGCUGCUGUGAGAAUAAGCGGAUGUGCUGUGAGAAUAAGCGGCUGUGAAAUAAAGCCAGUAGAGUGUUUGGUAAACUUUUUUGUGAAAGUGCUUUUGGAAAAAAAAGCAGGAUGAUAGUGUGUCUUUUCAUUAAAGGAGCAUUGUAGCUCCGUGUGCUUUGAAAAAACUGGCUUUUUUUCAAAGCAGCAAAUAGCAGCUUCAGCUUUUCCUUUGAUUUUCAGCUUAUUCUCACAGCAGCUUUCAAAAUAAGCCCUUUUUUUUCAGUUUACCAAACACAAAAAUGACCCUCAGCUUUUUUUCACAGUGGCUUUUUUUAAAAUCACCUCAAUCCCAAACGGGGCCUUAGCCCCAGUUUGGGGUUGAGGUGAUUUUAAAAAAAACUCCUAUGAAAAAAAGCUGGGACUGUUUUUGGUGUUUGGUAAACUUAAAAAAAAUGGCUUAUUUUGGAAGCUGCUGUGAGAAUAAGCUGAAAUCAAAGGAAAAAGCUGAAGCUGCAAUUUGUAGCUUUGGAAAACUGGUUUUUUUUCAAAGCACACAGAACUACAGUGCUCCUUUAAUGAAAAGACCCACUAUCAGACUGCUUUUUUUUCCAAAAGCACUUUUACAAAUAGUUUACCAAACACUCUGCUGAUUUAUUUCACAGCCGCUUAUUCUCACAGCAGCUUUUUUUUCAAAGCACAGCAAUACCAAACCAGCCCUUAGAGCUUCAACAUCAAUCUGUCCCUCCCACGUCAUUCGAUCCUCUUAAAAAGAGAUUCUCUUGCAUCACCAGUUUAUCAUGCAACAAUCAUGAAUUUAUUGAAUAGAUAACAACAACAAAAUCUCAUUUCAAUAAGUGUGAAGUUGGCUAUAUAAAUUUAAAAUAUCACUGAACUUAGUUUUACGCCAAUUUUAUUAGAUAGAUAAUACGAUUUUUUCAAUACAUGACCAACUUUACAAAUAUUUUUGAAAGUAAUUUUCACACUUUCUUUUAGCUUUUUAUUUUUAUUUUUGAAAAUUGUGUGAGAAACUAAAAAGAGUAAAAAAAAUUCGUGACGCUACUGAGACUAAAUUUUAAUUACAUAAAAAAGUCCCUCCGCCUCAUACAAGGAGGAGGAUGUGACAUGAUUGCUUUUAUUCAAGGGAACUUUAACAAAAAACUUUUGGUACUGUUCACUUUAAUGAAAAAUCACAUUUUACACUAAAAAAUCAAUCAUGUUACUAUUCAUUUUACCCUUAUAGUUAAAACUCAAAGUUUUCAAGCCAUUUUUAUUAGUUUUCAUUUUAUUCAAUCCACAUUCUCCCCCACUUGACCAUUUUAUCAACAAUGUUAUCUAAAUGCUUUUGUUUCCUUCUUCAAUUUGAUGCUAGGACCAAACAAGAAACAAAGCAACACUAGACUAAAACAAUCAUGUCAUAUAGCUUCACAUUCGGGCGACUAUGAUACCCCUAGAGAGUACAGUAUUGAUGAGAUUACGAAUUUGCCUUCGGGCGACGAUAUUAUCAUUUUCUGAGCAUUGGUUUUACAUACAUGUUUUACGAAUGUUUUACAUGGCAUACUAGGGUUUUCAUAAAACCUAUAUGUAGUAUUAUAUAUAAGUUUUCAAAACAGGGGUUAAUAUGUUCAUAAAUAAAAUGGUUUUCUUAUUAGUAUUAUUAUUAUAAACUUUGGUCCACUCACAUUUUUGGUUUUGCACCCCCUCAAGAGUUAGAAUCGAGGCACACGGUCUCGGCAUCAGGGCAACUCUACGUAAAGAUCUUUGAGCCUUAUCAGGGUAGGACCUAUUCUUCGGUUCGUACCUUUCUAUCAUAAUUCUUUCACUUAAUUCUUGAUUAGUUAUAUGCUCUAAACACGAUUCUGUAUUUGUGUCAAAACACGCAUAUACAUUAUUUCUUUCAGUUGAGAUUUAAAAUUAAAAGUUUACAGACACUUUUUGGUGAACUAAAAUUAAGGAAUUCUCAUUUUAUGUGUUAAGUUUUAUGCGGAUGGGUUAAUAAAAAGCAGAGUUGAGCCUUUAAUGAAUAUUUUUAAUUCUUGUAAUACGCUCAAUAAUUUAAAAAAAUAACAUUAUUUAUUCUUGUAUGCACAUUUUAUCAUUGGAGAAUAAAGUGAUCACCACUAAAAACCUCUUACACUACCAUUGCAUUAUCACCACCACUGUUGCCGCCACCACCACAUUACAAUUGCGCCACCAUCACCACAAACAUACGCGCCACCAUUACCAUUGCCAUCAUUACCACCACGCCACAAUAGACAUAACCACCACCACCACUGCUACCACAACCGCCACCAUCGCUAUUGUACGCCACCCCUACCAUCAAUGUUGCCUCUACAACCCAACCACCACACCCCUUUAUUGGCAUCACCACCAUCACAACCCUAGCCCUUAUCACCAUUGUCGUCGUCACCACCAACAUUGUUACGUCUAUUUUUGUCAUUAUAUACAAUUAUAAAUUAUCAAACGCUUUUACACUAUUUUUCAUACUCACAAUGCUUUUAAAAUACUUUUGAUGAAACACUCAAUUGCUUUAUUUUGUGGCAGAUUAUUCUUAAAGCACAUCAAAAGCAUUUUUUUAAAGCACAUCAAUCUCAAAAUGGCCAUACGAUUAUGAGUUUUUCAAUUGAGGUAAAUAUAUUAUGUAUUUGACCAAAACGAUUUUAAAUAAUUUGUAAUAAGAUGACGCAAAAGACGAACAUAAAUGUGACACAUGAAAUUAAACCAAAGCAAAUGAUUUUCUUGGGUUUUAACACCCAUAUAUAUUUAUAUAUAUUUGGGUUUAUCAUUUUCACCAAGCUCUACCUCAUCAUACUUAAAGAAAUGUAUUAGGCCAUCUCCAACCAAAGUAGGGCCAAAGGGCUAGGUUUAGUCUUAUAGCUCUGUAAGAAAUUAUAUUUUAAUGAAUAGUGCCAAACCAUAUUUUAUACCAUCUCCAACCGAGGGGACCAAAGGGCCAUCGGCCAAACAUAACCAUUUGACAAAAAGUCAUCUCCAACCGAGGGGCCAAAGGAGCAUAAGCCAAACAUAAUUUAUUAUUUUAAUUGAAUUAAUAUAGUUAAUUAAAUUAAACUACCAUAUUAAAAUCAAAUUUUCAAACAUAUUGGAAGAUUAUUGAAAGAGGUGGCUGACACACUCCGACCCAAAUCAGGGCAUGCUGGGCGUCACGUGAGGGUGACGUAGUCAUGUGCACAGUGCGGAAACAAUAAUGAUCAAAGAAAUAUAAGUUCAAGCAUGGCAUUUAGGUGAAGAUACACACAAUCAGAGCAUAAGUAGCCUAAGUGCAGUCCAGCAGGAUGAAUACUAAAUAUACAAUACCAGAGAUAGUCCUACAUUAGGGAUAAUCUGUCAGAGUUGUUGUCGAUUCCUCGUAAGCCACCAACAGUCACUUCUACCUAAAACCUUGAGGGGCGCAAAAAGAAAGUGUGAGUGGGCAAAAAUAAAGCUUUUCAAAACCAUUUCAAUAUCCAAAAAUAAUAACCCCUCGCUGGAAAACCUGUAUACUUUCCCAGAAAAUAUUACGCAUAAACAUAACUCAAACCAUACUAAAAGAAAUAGUAAGUCCACAAGUGUGCCAUGUCAAAUAACCAAUCAAGUAAUAUAAGCAAACAGGUGAGAUAAAUCACUAAAAAUAAUGUGUCAGCCAGAGUCACCUAACGUGACCUGCACGGCUGAGUCUAUAGCUCCUCUACCAAUUCCUGCACACGAGUCGGAACCAUCUAUAGUGGUCUGUACAACAGGCUAGGUGUAAAUGAGUACACUCAAGUGCAAUAAUCACGUGAAGGCUGUGCAAAGUAUCGCAAGUCACCUACGAGUCGGAACCACCUAUAGUGGUCUGUACGACAGGCUGACACCGAGGUGCAGGAUAAUGAGCUAUAAAUGCAUCUCAACAAAAUCAUACUCAAUACCAUCACUACCAUUAACAUAUACUGACUUGUUGACGCUGCGCCAAGAAACAAUAUACAUAACUAUACUAGCGUAUGAUCAAAUAUAAAGAGCAUUUGACAUGGCAUUUUAAAAUAUAAAAUCAUUUAAAUAUGCUUUCUGGGAAAAAUACCAAGCAUAUAUGUAUAUACUGAAAACAGAAGCCUACUCAUUGAUAUGUCCCAGGGUCUUAAACCCCGAGCCUCGCCUGACCGCGCUCGUCCUCGAGAAACGUCUCACCUAUAUGCGAAACAACUAAAUAAACGUCAUUUAUAAGCACAUAACCAAAACUAGGUAAUAACUUCUCAUACAUUGCUCGAUUGGGGUGUUUGAAUAAACCAACGUGAUCUACUCAACCCCACGAACAUUUCCAUAUUUUUAGAAAAAAAUUCUGAUCACCAACGCGCCUUCACGCGCCGGCCAAGGCACGGCCACAAGCGCGGCCACGUGUAGGCACGUGCCUGGCACACCAAACGAAAUUCCUAAAGGCAUGAGGGAAUAUUUCGUAAAAAAACUAGCAUAUACCGUCAGUUUUAACUGACUCUGUUAGGAAUAUUAUGUCAAAACUGAUGGAAUCUUCCUCUCAUUCUUCCCAGUUUGCCGGAGUCCGAUGCUGGCACCGCUACAAUUGUCGGAUUCUGGAAAAACUUCUAAACCAAAAUUUUCACUCAUUUCUUAACCAAAAUCCAUAAAAUUUGUACCAAAUUAAAGCUUAUGACGAAAGGAACACAUUCAUACCACUUUUAGGUUCCACAUCCACCGGAAUCUCGCCAGACAAUUUUGUGAAACCGGUCAACUUUGCAACUCGACAAACCUGAGCUUUCCGACGUUAAAAUUAGUCCAAAACUACUCCAAAUAGUCAAGGAAGUUCAAAUAAUACCUUUUUGAGUCCUUAAACUUCCUAAAUCACCCACGAUCACGUCGAAGCCACUAUUCACCUCGCCGGAGGUUAUGGAAACUUAAGGUUUCCAAUGUCUUUUCUAUAAAUCAAAGGUACAGUUGAGUGUGUAAGCUUACAAGGAAGAUGAUGAUGGUGUUUGCAACCUCGAUCAGUAAAAGGGAGAGCUAGUUCGAAGUUGUCUGUACAGCUGUACGGAAAUGGAAGAAAUUUCGAGAGAGAGUGUCACGGAAAUGGGUGUGUGGGAAAGUGUGUGUGUGUGUGUGUGUCUAGCUUUCACCCAAUCACAACCAAACAAAAAUAAUAAGGUCCUAAGUUCCUAUUGGGUCCAAACAAAUAGGAUCAAUCUCAAUUAGCCAAGUUCUUUAGCCCAAUCACACACAGACCAUUACCAAACGCCCAAGGGCAAUUUAGUCAAUUCACGCCAACGAUAAAAAAAAUAUUUCGGAACGGGCUGUCACAGUGGCCAUUUGAAUAUUAUUGAAAAAAAAAUAAAGGAAAGAUUAUUGAAAGAGAAUAGAAUGUGAAGAAUUGAAAUAAAAUGAGGUAAGAUAGUAUGAAGUGAUGAAAAGUAUGUGAGAAAUGGUGUAGGAAAAAAAAAAUAUAUAUAUAUAUUUUAAAUUCAUCAAAAAAAAAUCGGGCUGGUGGUUUUGGCCCAAUGAGGUCCACAAGCUCUUUGACCUAGCCCUUAGUUUGAGACGAUUUUCGUAUCAUUUCGAGCUAUUUUUAGCUCUAUGAGGGGUCAGUUGGAGAUGGCGUUCCGAUCCACAAACCAAGCUCCACCUCAUCAAUACUUAAAAUAAUUUGAUGCAUUACUUUUGUUUCCUUUCUCAAUUUGAAGGCCCAAACAAGAAACAAAGCAACACUAGACAAAGACAACUGUUGUAUAAUGGGUGUUUUAGAAACUCAAAAGCUUAAAUUUUUUGUCGUGCUCUUUAACUUUCUCUUUUACUGCUAUACAUGAGAAAACAAGAGAGAUUUAAUAUGAGUAAAGGGAUACUUUACUUCUUGAGAUACAAGUUUAUUGGGUUUCUUCUAAGGAUCUUGGGUUUCUUUAUCUGUAAAGAAGUUGGGUUUUUGGUUGUUUAAUUAAUUUCAACCAAAAUUGCAAGAUAAAAAGGAAUACAAAGGAGAAGACACACACACACACAUAUAUAUAUAUGUUUUUUUUUAAGAUGAUAACAUAUUCGUGGAUAGAACUGAGAAGAUAUAUAAACCGACAAACAAGUUUGUUUAUCUUAGGAAAGUAACAAUAUUUCCAUAGUCACUUUCAGAUUAUUACAACUUUGACGUCGAAAAUAAGAAAAUUUAGGGAAUGUUGUUUUCUUAUUAGUUAGGGUUUCUAUAAUACGUGUCGGAUUCUUUUACCUAAGUUUUUAUCUGUCAGAUUAGUCACGAAGGCUUACUGCCACAUCAAAUGAAAGGUAAUGAAAGCAGAAAACUGAAAACAAAAUAUCGAAGUUGACUGCUGGUAGGAUGAAUUUGCAGUUAAAUUUCAUUGAAAACAUUAAACUUGACAAGGAUUACCAGAACCAUAUAAUUACCACAUAACAAGAACACAAAGGAAAUGAAAAACUUGAAACAAAAGUUGACAAACAAACAACCAACGACAUAAGAAAACAGACUGCAUACUUUUCUUUUGACCAUUUUUUAGUACCCUCAAAACUAAUUCGCAAGUUAGUUAAUCACCAUAAGUGAUAAUGCUGUCCAUAAUCUUGGCCACCACGUCCUUCGAAUCCCUCAGUUUUUUUAUGCUUCUGUUAAGCUUCUCACGCUUUACUGCUACUGCCGGUGACUCCUCCAACAUCCUCUCAAUUCCCCCACCGUAAGGUCCCAUCAACUCCUUCACAAUCUCAGCUUCCAUCUCUUUGUUCACAAGGUUGAAAACAGACAGCUGCAAGUGCAAUGCCAUGGAGUCCACAAGCCUCCUCAAAACAACCUUCCAAUAGGCAAUCAUUCUCAUUUUAAGGUCAUAAGCUUGAGCUAACACAUGCGGGUACUUCCUCAGAACACCGACUUCCACUUCCCCGAUGCCUACUAUAUCUAUGAUAGAAGGUUUCUUCUCAUCAGUUAAGACUCCAUGAAUGAAUUCGUUUUGACUAGCCAUCAACUUGUUCCAUUCGGAAACAUAAUCACCAUCACAUGUAUAAUCUGUCAGCUUUUCCAUCUCUACAAGCUCCAGCAUCCACUUGAUUGAUCUCUCCUUCAUCUUGGCCAUUAGACUAUGGCCGGCACGCCUUGCUGAUAACUGCAGCUGAUGAUAGUUAUCCGUAUAAUGCAUCAACACAGAAAUAACCACCUCUUCAAUGUAGUUCCACACUUUUUCCUCAAAUGCAAUCGGAAUACUCGAAAUUUCAUUCACUUUUGCCUGCAAGAUAAUGAGGAAAGCAUUGCGUGGAAGGAAGUUCGGAAGUGAAAUACCUUUGGCCUCCUCCAAGAUCUUGAUCUCCUCCAUCAAGAAGUUGCUCUUUGCAUCAGUUUCAGCACAUCUGUGAAGUUCAUCCGAGUACUGGUUGAGCAUCUCAACCAAUCUAGCAGUGCAGUGCAUGCGAUUAUCUUCGGCGUACUCCUCAAAUUCUCCUCUCAAAAGAAUCUUCCUAAGCGAUUCCUUAGCCAAGCCAAUGAUUUGCAUAAAGGCCGUCAUUGCCUCGGCAACAGACGAAAGACUCUUUGGCAUUUUGUUCAGCAUCAUAAUGCAGAAGUUCAGCCUGUCAUUGAUCUUCUUCACUAUCUCAGGUAUAUUUCUUGCUAUGCUGUUUGCUUGAAUUUGGACCAGCUUCUGUGCUAAAACUGGAAUGCCGACAAUGGACUUGUCAAUCUUCGAAAGCAGAGGAUGGGUUUGAAAUAGUUCAUGAGCCAUCACCGCUGCCUCCUCAUAAGUUUCGUCACCAAUCCUGUUCCUUACACAGACAUAACCAAGACCAAUGUUUACAUCAUCUCCAGUGACCUUCUCAAGUAGUCCUUCCGGUGCCUUGUCCACUUUCGUAACCACAGCGAGCGUCCUCUCACCAGUUUUAUCUACACUUUGUGACAUCCGGAUUGACUCACAAGUAGUAAAAUCCACCGUAGCAGACAAUACAUUCAGAAUAAUACUUUCCUCCGGCUUAAUAUACUCCAUGAUCAUAUCUUUGAUCUGAUCAUAGAUAUUUUCAGGUUGGCCAUGGACUGGAACCCUUGUGAUUCCCGGAAGAUCAACCAUAGUCAGAUCCGGAACCCCAUUCUUCUUCACCAACAAAGUAAGUGGCAUGUUUGAAAUUCCCUUACCUCCCCCCGCAAUAGAAUUAGUCGCUUUCACAAUAUCUUUGGCGAUAUUUUCUUCAUCAGUACGAUCAACUCUGCCAUUGUACUCCAAGGAAAGUUCAGGCUGAGGACUCGAGUGGUGUUCCAGCCUCAUAAUAAGAGGCACUCUCGUGCAGAUGCCUUGGCCCCGAGGUAGGCUGAUGCCGGCCAAGGAUUCGAGCACGCUAGACUUCCCGGAUGACUGGUCUCCGACCACCACAAUCGUUGGCAGCUGAAUGCCUUCAUCCAUCACCUUCAAGCUGCGUAACUUGUCUACCGCAUCCAGAAGAGGGCGGAUCUUGUCGUUAUAGGACGACACAAUGGGUGCGCAUUUGAGAGGUACUACGUCUAGUCCUGCCUGAACCAUUGCGAGUGAGCCUUCACCGUUUAAGACUGUGUAACUCGAUUCCAUUUACCUUCGUCCUUCCGUUUCUGAAUUAUAGGAUGUCGAAACAAUGGUGAAAAUCCAGAGGGAAACCGAGAUUACUUGUCAGAGAAGAUAUCAGUCAGGAAGAAGUGAGAAAGCUGGUUUUAGUAAGUGCCUUAAGGUUAAAGGCUCCUAGUUGUAUGUAUAAUUGUUCAGCAAAACCUAUCGAAGUAAAUGACAACCAGCCGUUUCAAAGGCUCCUAGUAGUAUGUAUAAUUGUUUAGCAUUUUGAAGAUGCUACAUGAAAUGUCGUUUUUAGCCCUUUCCUUUAUCUUUUUUAUUUUUUUUCCCGCGUGUUGCUCGGCUUUGCCGUUUUGCCUUUUUUAUUCUAGGUAUUUAUUUCCUUUUUCUCUCUUGACUUCCCCUCGCACACUUCCAUGCAAUCCCUGUCGCCAUUGUGGCACAAAACACAAUAAAAAAUUAUAAAUAAAUUAGAUGCAUUCGCAAAAUAAUUAUUAAAAAUUUUGAGAAGCCCACCUGUCUUCCAUUGCUUUGCCUUUUGGUUAUUUUAUUUUUUGGUUUUGCUGUUUUUUUUGUCUUCCACGCCGAGCCUGCAAUGGUUUGUGGCAAACAACACAUAGGGGGUGGGUUCAAAAAACCGAAAACCGAAAAAAAUCGAAAAUCAAACCGAAUCGAAACCGAACCGAACAAAAAAACCGAACCGAAUUGAAAAAACCGAACCGAACCGAAUUAAUUAAAUUAAUAUUUUUUUAAAUUUUAUUUAUUUAAUUAUUUGUUUUGGGUAUUGUUUUUUAAACCCAAUUUGUAAUAUUUUUAAACCCAAUUUUAUUUGUUUUGGAUAUUAUUUUUUAAACCCAAGUUGUAAGCCCAAUGUGUUACCAAAUACUUACUACCCUUUUCUCAUUUUUCUCACACUCCAAUUUUACUUCUAAUUAUUUAUGGUUUGUUUGUUUCAUCACUAAACCAGUUGCUUUCCAUUUGUCUCUUGAUCAAUCAUGUUCUUCUUUGUUUGUCUUUUUAUUGUUUGAAUUGAAAUUAUGAGUGAUUUGGAGUAAUAAUCAUAGGGUAAUCAAAUUUACUUGUACAACUUCUCUCUCUUUGCACUCCAGUCCAUUUACUUUCAUAUCUCUGCUGAGUAAAAAUUGAGGGGGAGAGAGAGAGUUAAACAUUUUAAAUUUUAUUUUUUGUUGCUUGACUUUGUAAAAGACUGAAACUUUCACUGCAUUCUCUUAGAAAACUAAACAUACUAUUGGAUUUGAUGGUUGUUUGUGAUUUGGGUUUUACUGCUUUGUUUGCCCUUUAUUAAUAAUCAUGUAAUGUUUGAGUGAUCUAUUUUGCUCAAAAGUUUUAGGACUUUCCUUGAUAUUUUUUAAGAAACCAAACAAGGAUUAACCCUAUGUAUACUUUGUUUGUUUGCUUGAUGUGAAAAAAAAAUAUCCAAAACAAAUAAUUAAAUAAAUAAUACUGAGAAAAAGAGAAUUUAAAAUAUCAUUACUUUUUAAACCCAAUUUCUCAAGAACCAAACAAAGAUUAACCCUGUGUAUACUUUGUUUUUUUUUAAAAACCCAACCAUGAUGUAAAAAAAACCGAAACCGAACCGGAAAAAACCAAACCGAAAAAAAAAUAAACCGAACCGAAAUUUCGGUUCGGUUUCGGUUUUGGCAAAAAACUGAACCCACCCCUAACAACACGUAUAAAAAAAAUUAUUUGCCCAAAAAAAAAGAUUACAUGGACAAAACAAUUAUUAAAAAUUGAGAUAUUUGUCCCCUUUUUCUCUCCUGACUUCCCCUGCUUCCCUGCAUUCUUGCCAUGUCGCCUGUUGCAGGGAGAAGGUGAGAAUUGGUUGUGCCACGUGUUGGUGAUCAUGUUGUUUACUUUUUGGGGUUUAUAUUGGUGGAGGCACAUUCUCUGCCUUCUUAAUUUCGGUGUCCUCCUGUUUUGUGUGGUCACGGUUAAAUCAUUUCAACAUUUUAUAUUAUUUUUUAAUAGAGAUAAUAAGACAAAAAAGAAUAGUAAUAUAUAAUGUUGAUCUGACUUAACCUUGACCACACAAACAGGAGGGCACGGGAGAGCACUGAAAUUGGGAGGGCAGAAAAUCUGCCUCCUAUAUUGGUUCAUUUUAGUACCGUUUGGUACGCAGACGGGACGAAAGGGAACAAGACGGGAUGAGACGGGACGAAACAGUGGUUCCAUGUUAUAUUUGGUAUGUACAGGACAGAACGGGAAAGUUGUUCCGUUGUGGGUUUGGUAAGCGCAAGACGGAACGGAACCAAAAGAAUAAAAUGAUUAACUUACCCCUGUUUCGUCUGUUGUUUGGUACAAUAUUUAGGCUUGGUAUGGGACGGAACAAUUUCAUUAUUUUUUCACCUUCUUGCUGCUGCUUAUCUAUGAUAUAUUUUGUACACUAUACUUGGAUGUGUUCAUAUUUCAUACCGUGUAUAACAGAAAACAAGAGACAUGUAUUUGUACUUUAUGUUGCUCAUAUAAUUAAUUUAGUGGGAUAAUACGUCAAUUAAUUUUAUGUGAUUUAAAAAAAUAAUAUGGUGAGAGCAUGCCAUUGGCUUGGCACUUUGGAACAUGGCAGUGUAGCCACAAUAUGUAUAUGUGAUGAAUUACAUAUGAAAAGGUUGGUGUGGUAGAACAACCGUUGAUGCAAUGGCUAUGUUGGAAUCUUUGACACAAUCUGCUUUCAUCUCUUCAUCAUCACAUUGAAAUGCAAAUUGUGUCAAACAAUAUGUAUAUUAUAAGUUGAGAUGUGAGUCAAUUGGAUGUCUAUGGCAAUGGUUGUCAUGCAAGGAUGAAAAAUAUAGAAGUUUAAUGAUAUUAUCUUGCUAAAGCAAUAAACAUGAAAUAUCCAGAGCUUAAACAUGAAAUCCCAAAUUAAACAUUCAUCUUGACUUAAAGAAAAAAGAAAAGAAAGAUAAUGUCUUACUAAACCCCAGAAGUUGAUAUAGUUCAUUCAUAUCAUACUAAACCCCCUAAUGCUCAGAUGUCAUCCAUAAAUAUUUUAAUGAAAUCUGCCUUGUGAGAGUCAUCCAGGGUACACCAAAUACUCAACAUAUCAGUAUUUUUCACUAAUUUUUAUUGAAAUUUUCAGCACUUGAUCAUAUGGGAGACCCAUGGCCUGAACUCGAUACAAAAAAUUUAGUCUCAUAUUCAUCUAUACCUUCACAUGAAAAAAAAACACAUGAAUGAAUGGAGCAUCAACAUACGUGGGAUUCAAUUACAAGCAUAUGAUUAAAUGGUAAAACAAAGUGGAGCUUCAUAUCCUAAUUGCAAUUCUUAAAGUGGAGCAUCAACUUUGUCAUGCACUGAAAAUCUGAGUGAUACCAUAUGAGGAUUCGAGUAAUGCUAUAUGACCCAAAUGCAGUUCAGUCUACAUUAUUAAAAGAUGGCAGUCCGAACAACAAGAAUGUACCAGCUUUAACAAUGACUUCUAAGUUUUGCAUAUGCUGAAGUUAAGAAUAUUCAAGCAUCAAAUAUGGCAGUCUGAACUCAAUACACUAUAAGACCUUACAUAAAUAGGUGACUACAUUAUUAAAACAUACCAGCAGUACUGCAAUAAAUAGUGAGCCAUACUAUUAACGAUCAUUUAUGACACGCCCCGAUCCCGAUGUCCUGUAGACAUCGAGAUGGUCACGUGUUGGCCGACACCCGAGGGGUGACGUAAGCCAUUCGAUUAAAGUAAAAACCCAUAAAAUGCUCACAAGCAUGAAUAAUAUAGCUCAAACCAUAGCAAUUAAACGUAAAGCAGCAGAAACAUAAUUACAUUAAAAUAAUAUUCAACUGCCAACACAAAACAAAACAAGAUACAACAAACCCUGUCCAGAGCAUACGUCUAAUAUAGAUUACAAAAGAAAGAAUAUAAAUUGAAUAACAAAAGGAGUGGAUCCUACAAUGAGAGGACUCAAAGAUGCCAAUGCAGAAGUGUCUUAACGCCGGGAUUGUAUGCCUCGAAUCUAAGCCCUAAAGGGGGCGCAAAACAAAGGUGAGUGGACCAAUUUGAUAUACAUAUAAGAAACAAUUAUCAACAUACUAUCCCGCAGGUUUUAUGAAAACUCAUAUAUAUCAUGAUAAACAUAGGUUUAUCGAAACCUAGAAUGUCGUGCAAUAUUUCAAUUCAUAACUCGCCAUGCAAUGUCUCAAUUCAUAACUCGUCGUACAAUAUCUCAAUUCAUGAUUUGCAUAUAAUAAUCACUAGUGUCAAAUGUUCACAUAUAUCCCUCCUGGCCCUAUGCCAUCUCCCCGUCCCUGAGCAUACAGUUAGAGGAAAAUAUCGCUUCAGGCCCUAUGCCAGCUCCCCGUCCAUGUGCUAAAUAGCCAGAGGAAACACACUCCAGGCCCUAUACCAACUCCUCCGUCGCUUGGGAUGGACCGGAAUCUAUCUCUCAUCCCGUAGCGGAAAUUGGGACCACUAGGUAAUAUAGAACCAUUGCACAUACAUCUCAUAAACAUUCUCAUAAACUCAUGCUUCUCAUGUAUGCAUUUCUACUAAUAAAACAUGCAUUUUUAGAAAGGGGUCACUCACAGUACUUCGCCGUCGAAAGCCGCGCUGCUAGCGAAGAAACAGUGCCACAAUAUAUGCACUUAAGCACAUAAAGGGUUCAACACAGUCAAACUCUAUUCAGAUGAUUUAAUUUAGGAAAACAGACUUAAAAAACGGAUCUAAGACGUCGAAAUUAACCUACGAGGGAAAUUAACCUACGAGGGGUCCUGAACGAAAUCCAAAAAGUCAACUCAGAACAGUCAACGAUCAACGGGUCAAAGUCAACGGGUCGGGUCAACCGAGUUUUGGAUUGGAUUUGGAUCUGGGUAUAGGGUUUGGGUUUUUGGGUCACGGGCCAGAGGCCCUAAUUGAAGGAACCCAAAAGGGUUCCCUGGGUUUGGGUUACACGGGCCAAAGGCCCUGGUCUUCUCGGCCCAAGGCUUUAAGCCUAGGGUUUGGGUUUUAGCUGCCAAGGCCCUAAGGGCUUUUGGGUUUCGAAUUGAACGGGCCGAAGGCCCCAACUAAAAUAAAAAAAUGUAACGAGCUAGGGAACUGGGUCUGCUAGCAAUGGGCCUAAUGCCCAAAAUAAAAUGGCCCAAAGGCCUUGUGAAUUAACAAGCAAAAUAAUUAAAAUAUAAAUAAAAGAAAAUGGGCUGGGUUUGCAACGGGCCUAAGGCCUGAGGGGGUUUGGGUCGGUCCGAAGGCCUGGGUGCGCCGGGGGAAAAACCAGAGGACACCGAAGCUGCUACAGCUCUGGCUGACUACAAACGGAGGUCUAGUGCUCCAAUCUAGCUACCAAAAUGGAGUACAAGAAGAGGGGAGUACUUUGGUACCUUCAAAUCGAAUUGAAUUGACCGGAUUUGCUCAGAAAAGUCCACGGCGCUCACAGGUUCGUCGGAGAAAUGGGUGUGCUCACCCCGUGUGUCGAUCUCGACCUAAACCUCAGAAAAAUCAUGAAAGUCACUUCCAAUUUCUCAAUCAAACACAAUUUAACCCUGAGUGAGAACGAUCGGAGGCUUACCUAGCCGGAAAAAAAGAAGAUUCGCCGGAGGUUUCCUGUGUUGUUUUUCCUUCGUGCGUGCGUGCGUGUUCACGGGAGGGAUGCGAGGGAUACGGGAGAGAGAUGAGAGAUUUAGUUUCGAGAAAGACUGAGGGAAUACAGAGAGAAAGAGAGAUGAUAGGGAUAGGUGAUGUGGGAAAUGGAGGACAUAAUCAGGGUGGGCCCCUUGGGCUUACCAUUUAAGGCCCAAAACAAUAUUUUAUAAAAAGAAGGAGGGUGGGGUGUAACAAUUUAGCUUAUUAUCCCCCACUCAAGACAGGGCCAGGCCAUUAUUAUUAACAGUUUGAGGUUAAAUACAAAAAUCCUACGUAUUCGUCCGAUCAAUCUGUGGGAGAAGAAAUUUCAAGAUAGGAAGAUAAUAUCUUUCCUUGCUAUAAAAAAACUUCAUUUAUUUCUAAAAGCCAGUGGUAGAAUAACUAUCAACUUGGGGCCACAUCACACAUACACGGUACAACAUUGGUCUCUCUUUAACCUUUGUUAUAAAAACGCAUCUAAGGUCAUUAAAACAAUUCAAACAUGCUCCUUCCACUAACUGAACAACCAAAGAAUGCUGUUCUUCACUAGACAUACUGAUCAACUAUAACAAAACUCACGAUGAUAAGUAAUAGGUACGGUGAAUACAAUCAAAUAAAAUAUGUUGCAAGAUGUAGAACUUUGCAGAAAUAUUAAUGUAAAGAAAGAACAAAAAAUAUUCGAGGCAAACAAGUUACUCGUCCCUAAGAAAAACCCUCAAAUUACUUGAUUCUUCCAACAUAGAAUCCAAUCCAACAUAGGAAAAUCCUAAACAUGUAACCCAAUCCAAUCCAACAGAACCCAAAGACAUCAGAUUUAUAGAUUUUAGCACAUAAAAAAUGAAACUUGAACACUAGAAAACCAGAUAGAGAGAUACCUCUGAAUGUAGUACUGCUCAAUAGGGGGAGUGGAAUGAGAUAAACAGAGGCGGAUCUUUGGUUUCAGAUGCAGUAUUGGGUAGAUCGAAGCACUACAAAAUACAAAGAAAAAAAAAAAAAAAGCAAAUCAGAAAAGAAUACAAAGAAAUCGAAGCACUAAAAAAUACAAAGAAUUUCAGCAGAAUUAGGAACUGGGUGUUAAUGAAAUCGAAGCAAGCAAAUCAGAAAAGAAUAAUAAUGCCACUUCAAGCAACAGCAAACACCAAACCAAGAGAGAAAGUACUACAAAAUACAAAGAAAGAGAGAUCGAGAGACUACACAAUCACUAUCAGAUUGAACCUGGAACGGAGAUGCAGAGCUGAAAGUUCACAGAGAAGCUACAUGGAAAAGGAUGAGGAGGAAGGUUGCGAAGGGGAGAUGCAGGAGGAUGAAUAAGUUCACAGCGACAGAGAGAAGAGAAAUGAUAGUUAGGGUUUGUCGUAUGAUAUAGAUGGUGUAAAUAUUGAAAAAGCUAAGGGGUAUUUUUGCCUUAAAAUUUUAUGAUUUUUGUGUUCCACGUGAUGGAACAACCCGUUCCCGGGGGAGAGGGGAGGUGGCACCAAAAUUUAACCCAUUUUCUUUCCGUGGGACAGCGCGUUCCACAUAAUUUAGGGCACCAAACAUGGGACGGAACACGUCCAUCCCACUCCGUUCUGUCCCAUCCAACGUACCAAACGCACCAUUUCCGUUUCAGCUUAGUUCCCUUUUUGUUUGCACAUUUGUGCAUUGAAAAGUCGAUUAUGCCCUUUGCUGGGUGCUAUCUUCCUUAUUUCAGUUCCUCAUAGUUUAAGCGGCUGUUUCUCAGCCCACGUGUCGGUUAUCGUGAGGUUUGGUCUUCCAUCUAUAUCCACCCUGCUUUGUGAAGCUGCUGGAAAUGUCUUCCAUUUUGAGCGUUUUCUUAAUUUUUUUCGUACUUUGUGUGUGGAUGUUUGAUCUAAUUUCAUUUUUUUGUUUCAAGAAACGUUGGCCUUCGAAUUUUAAGGGUUUAUUGUACAAGCUUGCAAGCCCUUUCUGGGUGAGGUAUAUAAUUUUUGUUUUUGUUCUUAAAUCUUUUUCCAAUAGAAUUUUAAUUGUUUUUUUGGUCCUGUUUUGUUUUUGGUGUGAUGAUUAAUUAUUGGGCGGUGAAGCAUCAACACGUACACAAAAUGGGUGUAGCGGAGAUGAGGAUGCUUCGUUGGAUGUGUGGGCACACGAGAAAGGAUAAGAUUAGGAAUGAGGAUAUCCGGGGUAAAGUAGGAGUAGCCGAAAUUGAAGGAAAGAUGAGAGAAAAUCGGUUACGAUGGUUUGGACAUGUGCAAAGAAGGCCUACUGACGCUCCGAUUAGAAGAUGCGACUAUGGGACAGAGGUUCAGGGCCGAAGGGGUAGAGGAAGACCUAGGAAAACUUUGGAAGAGACCCUAAGAAAAGACUUAGAGUACUUGGAUCUAACGGAGGACAUGACACAGGACAGAACACAAUGGCGUUCUAAGAUUCAUAUAGUCGAUCCCACUCAGUGACUUGGAUUUUCCAAGUCUCCAACCGAGAAGUUUUCCUCACUCGGGAAAUUAAGGGAACACUACCUCAACCUACAUGCUCCACUCAUAAAGCUUCAACAUACAAACUUCAACAAAAGAAAAUUCAAAGAACUUAGCGAAGAAGGCUUUGGUGUAUUUAACACAAUACGUUGAAAUGAAGGAAAACUUAUUUAUUGAUAUCCCUGAUAAGUUACAAAUAUGUACAUAUACAUGAGUCAAAAUAAACAAACAAGAGGGAGCCUUCACAAAUGUUGUUUAGGAGAAGUCUUAGCAGUCGGUAGAGCCCCAGAAAGAGAAGGCACCGGACGGGGAUCAUUCGGAGCCUCAGUACUGGACAGAACCCUAGAAGGAGGAGGCAUCAGAGGUUGAUCAUUUGGAGCUUCAUUACGCGGUACAACCCCAGAAGACGAAGGCAAUAAAUGCCUUUGGAACAAACCCACAAAUCUCUGAUGAUCAAGUAAAACCUGACCAUCAGAUUCCUUCAUCUGGUCAAGCUUCCUCUUCAUGUUUGUAGCAUAGUCAUGUGCGAGCCGGUGCAACUGUUUAUUCUCAUGCUUGAGCCCUCUAAUCUCCUGUUUGAGACUCAUCACUUCAGCCGCCAAUGAUUCAACUUGGCGGGUUCGAGCAAAUAGGCGUUGGACCAUAUUAGACACAGAACCUGCACACUGAACACUGAGAGCCAGAGAAUCCUUAACAGCCAACUCAUCAGACCGUUUGGAAAGUAGUCUGUUAUCUUUGGGAGUGAGAAGGUUCCUGGCCACUACCGCAGCGGUCAUAUCAUUCUUCAUCACGGAAUCCCCAACGGUAAGAGAACCAGUAGGGGAGACGAAUGAUGGGCGUCAUAUGUUGUCUGGAGAAGGCGGGGCUGUCUCUUCAACAAGGUUCAAGUCAAAACGACGGUCGGAGGGGCCAGACAUUUUCAAAGGUGUUGAAGAGAGAAGAGGUCGGACAAAUCAAGAUCUUAGAAGUGCAAGAAUGAAGCUUCUACUGGUGGAGAUUCAAGUGUGCUUUGGAACUUAAUGCCAGCCCCUAUAAAAAUCUGCACUCGACGAAGCUUCAGAAAUCGAAGAGGCGCCUGCUCAGAAAUCGAAGAGGCGUUUGCUUUCUCAAAAGCUGGGCUGCUCAGAGACCACGAGGGUCGAUCUCAGAAAUCGAAGAGGCGUUUGCUUUCUCAAAAGCUGGGCUGCUCAAAGACCACGAAGGCCGAUCUCAGAAAUCGAAGAGGCUUGCUUUCUCAAAAGCUGGGCUGCUCAGAGACCACGAGGGCCGAUUUCAGAAAUCGAAGAGGCACAUACUUUUCCAGCCUUGUCAGCACCUGCCACACGCACACUCAGCUUUGCGGAAAUUAUGGGCAUUCUGUCGAAGAUUUCUGGUGAAGUAGAAAACACAUGAAUCGUACUGUUCAAUCACCCACUUCCCACACGCAACAGUAGCUCAUGGGUACCACAUAUAACUUUGCCAAAGUUAUCUGACAAAGUUGAGACACGUGAAGCUUGCAGCUCUCACUACAUCGCUCUGACCAAGAAGGGUAAAAGAAUAGCAAAGAAACAACACUAACAAAGUUUAGACACAUAAAUUUUGAAGGUCUAGCUACCAUAUUAUUACCCAUAAGGGUAAAGGAACAGUACCACUGCUGGAUAAUUGGAAGGUCCCGGUGUGUCAACCUCUGUACUUCGUGGCAAGGUAGACUAGCAAACAUGCCCAACCUUUACUCACAUUCAAGAAAACACUCCCAACAAGAUUGCUUGCUCCAAAAUCGAAGAGGCACCGCUUUCCGAAUCUUGAGAGCCAGACUCCCAACAUGAUUACUUUCUAAAAAAUCGAAGAGAGGGUAAAGGAACAGUAACACUGCUGGAUAAUUGGAAAGUCCCUGUGUGUCAACCUAUGUGCUUCGUGGCAAGGUAGACUAGCAAACAUGCCCAACCUUUACUCACAUUCGAGAAAACACUCACAACAAGAUUGCUUGCUCCAAAAUCGAAGAGGCAUCGCCCUCCGAAUCUCGAGAGCCAGACUCCCAACAUGAUUACUUUCUCAAAAAUUGAAGAGAGGGUAAAGGAACAGUACCACUGCUGGAUAAUUGGAAAGUCCCUGUGUGUCAACCUCUGUGCUUCGUGGCAAUGUAGACUAGCAAACAUGCCAAACCUUUACUCACAUUCGAGAAAACACUCCCAACAAGAUUGCUUGCUCCAAAAUCGAAGAGGCACCGCCCUCCGAAUCUCGAGAGCCAGACUCCCAACAUGAUUACUUUCUCAAAAAUCGAAGAGACACCGCUCUCCGAAUCUCGAGAGCCAGACCCCCAACAGGAUUGCUUUCUCAAAAAUCGAAGAGGCAUCGUUCCCCGAAUCUCGAGAGCCAGAUCCCUGACAGGAUUGCUUGUUCGAAAACCGAAGAGGCACCACUUUCCCAACUUCAAGAGCUGGAUCUCCUUGGAUAAAGCUUGUCUGUAAUCUUCACACGCAACAUCAGCUUUCCAGAGACCACAGACCACUUUUUCAAAGUGCUCCGACAGAGUUAAAACAUGUGAAGCUGGCAGCUCCCACUACCGUGCUAUGACCAAGCAGGGUAAAGGAAUAGCAUUAUUACUUGAUGUUAGUGAGACUCCUAUAUAUGUCGACCUCCAUCCCCAACGGACAGGCAGACCUGCAAAAAUGCUCAACCAUUCCUCUUAUAUGAGAGGGCACUCCCAACGAAGCCUUUCGAAAUAUUCAACUUUCUUUCCCCUCGAUAAUACCUCUGCAAACAAGCUAUACUAGAGCAAGAAUAUCUCAUAUCAUCAGGGUUAAAAGCAAGAGUAUCCCAUAUCAUGCUUUUUCCCUGUCUUUUCCUUUGGCCUUGUUCUUACCUGCAAGACAAGGAGAAAGAGAGCAAUCAGUCAGCACUUGGAAUCAAGCUUCCAACCAGGAAUUGAUUGCCUAGAACCCCUUACCUGAGUACUUACCUGGCAUUGCUCUCGAGUACUCAUCUUCAACAUCUUAUGCUUCCAGGGAAGAUACCGCAUCUGCCUAAGGAACAGAUAGGUCAAGUGAGAAGGAUACAAAGAAGCAUGUGGAGACAAGCGUAACAGCACACGUGCCGAUACAUCCACUACUCUGUCAAAAGCAAAAGUAUCCCAUAUCAGCAGGGUCGAACGUACUCUAGAUUUGAUGGACUUGUUUUGACCCUCAAAUUCUUCAGUCGGCCUUAUACUCUGGAGGAAACCAGAAAACCCUCAAGCCCAGUUCAAGAAUAAGCCUGUGGAAAGUUACUUCUUCAAAAGCAAAAGUAUCCCAUAUCAUCUCUUCUCAUUUUUCUUCUCUUUAUCCUUCCUGCUGCCUGCAAGAUAGGGAGAAUGUGAACAAUCAGCCGGAGCUCUGAUUUCUUACCUUGUCUGUCACAUCUUUUAGCAGAUCCCCUAGCCCGGCGACUUGGGGGACUCCUACUACAUGGUUUGUAUCGUGCUUGACCAAGCCUGAAACUACAAGUAAGCUUCAAGUGAAAUUGAUACAUUACCUUGUGCAUCUCCACCAGUUAAAGAUACCACCCCUGGAUGGAGGAAGAGUACUUCCAGAGAAGAUGUCACAUCUACCUAUGAGACAGAUAAGGCAAGUCAAGACGAUACCACACUCCGGUACUUAGAAGUUUUGUGAUUACGAGAUCAUUUUCCCACAAUAUUUCCUAAUGUCAUUUGUACUAAAUCAUUCACUUGUACUCACUAAAGGAGAGCUUGAACCUAUGUACUUGUGUAAACCCUUCACAAUUAAUGAGAACUCCUCUAUUCCGUGGACGUAGCCAAUCUGGGUGAACCACGUACAUCUUGUGUUUGCUUUCCUAUCUCUAUCCAUUUAUAUACUUAUCCACACUAAUGACCGGAGCAAUCUAGCGAAGAUCACAAAAAGCGACCGUUUUCGCUACCUAGGAUCUAUCUUGCAAGAGAAUGGAGAAUUAGAUGGAGAUCUCAACCAUAGAUUACAAGCUGGAUGGAUGAAGUGUAAGAGUGCAUCCGGCAUGUUGUGUGACCGUCGUAGGCCACUGAAGCUCAAGGGAAAAUUUUAUAGGACGACAAUAAGGGCAGCGAUGUUGUAUGGCACCGAAUGUUGGGCGGUGAAGCAUCAACACAUACACAAAAUGGGUGUAGCGGAGAUGAGGAUGCUUCGUGGGAUGUGUGGGCACACGAGAAAGGAUAAGAUUGGGAAUGAGGAUAUCCGAGGUAAAGUAGGAGUAGUCGAAAUUGAAGGAAAUAUGAGAGAAAAUCGGUUCCGGUGGUUUGGACAUGUGCAAAGAAGGCCUACUGACGCUCCGGUUCGAAAAUGUGACUACGGGACAGAGGUUCAGGGCCGAAGGGGUAGAGGAAGACCUAGGAAAACUUUGGAAGAGACCCUAAGAAAAGACUUGAGUACUUGGAUCUAACGGAGGACAUGACACAAAACCGAGCGCAAUGACGUUCUAGGAUUCAUAUAGCCGACCCCACUUAGUGGGAAAAGGCUUUGUUGUUGUUGUUGUUGUUGUUGUUGUGUUUAGUUUGCGGAUCUAUUUUCUAUAAAAAAAAUUGGUGAUAAUUGAUUUUGAGGUUGUGUUGUAUAUGGAUUUUUAGUGUGGGUAUAUGAUUUGGUUUUUUUAUUUUGAGGAAGCAGUGGCCAUCGUUUUUUACCGCUUAUAUAUAUAUUAUUCCAGAAGCUUGAGGUAUAAAAUCUUGAAAUUGCUCACCUUAAAUAGACAGCGGCGUGCAUAUGUAGUUUAUCAUCGAAUAAUCAACCUCUCAUCACUAAAUUAACGUUUAAGUUUGUUUUUAAUUUAGUUCACAAAUGAAUCAACCAAGUUUUCAUGCCAUAUUGAUACGAAAUUAUAAAGAAAUGUCGAUCAUAUUUUGUUUGUUUGUUUUCCUUCUUUUGAGAUCUAUUAUUCAUAUAUAUCAUAGAUGAUGAAGAAUAAAAGAAAUUAAAUGCCGCUUUGGAUGAUAAGUUGAUGUUGAUGACAAGUACUAUUGAUGAUACCCACUAUUUCUCAUCUGUUCUAAUGCUGCAGGUAUGUAUAUUAUGUAACAAGUUCUCUAUCAGUUUGUUAAUAUCCAUAACCAAUACAGGUUUUCAAACACUUACACAGGUUUGUAUUUCAGUGAAAAAAUUGUAGGAAAAACAAAAGGAGGUUGAGCCUAUCUACAUAGUGAGUCGAAAGAAAAAUUAAACUCAACAACUAGAGAAUGAGAAUGGUUUGAUGAAAAAUAGGAAAUGAACACAUAUAAGGUAAUGUCACAAGGUGAGAUUUCAGUAUGAAUUUUUCAUUGUCAUACUAAUUAAUGCUUUUAAACCAAUCGGUAUAGAUUCUAUUUUUAGUUUCUUUUGCUUGAUCAAUUUACAUUCCUUUUUUAACCAAAUGCAAGUUCCAAUAUUGCAUUGAUGACAAAUAAAUUAAUUGAGAUUGAAGCUUUCUCUGAUUGAGAAAUCUCUUUUUGUUUAAAUAGUGUUACAAUUUUGUCUUUAUUUUUUUUCCCAAGAGGUGGACUUAAAAAGGAUAAAGUAUGCAAGGGAAUGGUAGGAUCAACAUAUCAAAGGUAGACAUCGAUUUUUUCUCUCAUGUUAAACUUAUAUUGUGAUGUUUAUUAUUAUUAAAUUUUGAAAAAAAAAAAUUGCUUAUCAUAACCUUAUCACAAUACUAAAUAACAGGGAGAGAGAUGAAAAAUAGAGGUAACUAUUUGAUUGUAUGCUUACUUUGGAGAUUUUGUGUAAGAUCCCACAUACUUAUAUGUAUAUUCCCAUCUCUACCUAGCACGAGGCUUUUUGGGAGCUCACUGGCUUCGGGUUCCAUCGGAACUCCGAAGUUAAGCGAGAAGGGGGCUAGAGCACUCCCAUGAUGGGUGACCCACUGGGAAGUUGUUCGUGAGUUCCCAGAAACAAAACCGUGAGGGCCUGGUUCCCGGCCAGGGCCCCACCACAACCUGGGCCCGCUCUACCACCGUAGCACGAUAUUGUCCGUUUUGGGCCCCAACCAUGCCUUCACGGUUUUGUUUCUGGAAACUCACGAUCAACUUCCCAAUGGAUCACCCAUCAUGGGAGUGCUCUAGCCCCUUUCUCGCUUAACUUCAGAGUUCCUAUGGAAUCUGAAGCCAGUGAGCUCCUAAAAGGCCUUAUGCUAGAUAGGAAUGAGAAUAUACAUUUAAGGAUCACUCACCUGGGCGAUGUGGGAUGUCACAAUCCACCCCCUUUAGGGACCCGAUGUCCUCGUCGGCACACUUCCGGCCAGGGAUAGGCUCUGCUACCAAUUGUCACAUCCCGGCUCGGGCCCCCACCACAACCUGGGCCCGCUCCACCAUCGUAGCACGAUAUUGUCCGCUUUGGGCCCCAACCACACCUUCACGGUUUUGUUUCUGGGAACUCACGAGCAACUUCCCAGUGGGUCACCCAUCAUGUGAGUGCUCUAGCCCCCUUCUCGCUUAACUUCGAAGUUUCUACAGAACCCGAAGCCAGUGAGCUCCCAAAAGGCCUCGUGCUAGGUAGGGAUGAGAAUAUACAUUUAAGGAUCACUCAUCUGGACGAUGUGGGAUGUCACACAAUUGACUAAGAAUUUGUUAAAUCAUUUUAACAUGUAUUAUAAUAAGAUAUUUACUUUUUAUGAUACAUUUCUAAUUUUUGCAAAUUACUUGAUUUACUAUUGUUAUAUGGUUUACAGAUUUUUAUGUUAAGUGUGUCACUAUAUUGUUGUAAUAGUUAAAUUGGAUGUAAUAUGAAGUGUUGAGAUAAAACUAGGCACAACUAAUUAUCUUUCACUUCUUGAGAUACAGUCAUUGUUUGAUUUAGCCUAUAACUGAUAAAUCUUUAAUUAUAAUUGGUUUUUUUAGUUUACCUGGAUCAGAACUGAUAACCGUAUAAAAGGGCAGUAAAAAUUAAAGUCUGCCUGUUCUGAUGACAACUGAUAAAUAUACAGUUCUGCACUGUAUACUGGUUGAUGAAAAGGUGAGCAAUCAUUACUUAAUGAUCUUAAGUAAUAACUACUUAGUAUUGCUCAUUGAAAAUUUAUUAAUUGUUUCAAUGCAUAUGAUCUAACAUUUCUGCUUUCUGUAAUAAACACUAUUUAUGAUCUUUAUUUUUUUGGUCAAAAACACUAUUUGGGAUCUGUUUGUCAUCUUUAGACAUUGCUUGAUUUUGUAUUGUCAAAUGAUAUAUAUUUUCAUAAUCACUGUGUCUGUAUAGUAUAUGGAUUAUAUAUAUAUAUAUAUAUAUAUAUAUAUAUAUAUAUAUAUAAUAUUAAGUGUUCUAUUCUUUGUAUUAGAUCUUUUUAUACUUAAACAACUUUUUUUAAGUGUUAAUUAAAAUGAUUAAUUGAUAGUUACUGUUUGCCUAUGCAUAUUCUUGCGUAGUAUUUACUAUGCACAUGCAUAUUCAUGUUAUACUAUAUGUAAUGGUCACUGUUAUUCACUUAUUCACUUGAUAUUUAACAAUAUUUUUUUCUUGCAUUUUUUCCCAUGCUGAAUUGUCAAGCGACAAUCAAUAUAAACUUAUAUGAAUUUUGUUUCUUCAUUGUUAAUUUACUGAUGCUAGGGAUAAUUUAAGCUUCUACAUUCUUAACAUUUUUCAUAUUUGACUUGCAGGAUUAGUGUCAAUGUACACAUUUUUGCAACUAUUUGUUCUGUCUUUCUCCCUCACUCUGUAUAAUUUUAGUCAAAUUGAACUACUCUUUAAAACUUGAGAUUUAACUAAAGUACUUAGAACUUAGUUAAAUGAAAGUUUACUUCGGUUUGAUGACAUUUACAUGAUUAUUAGGUUCACAAUCAUUGGAUGCAUUAUCUUUUAUAUGUUUUAAUCAUAAUGUCAUAAAAUUUUCGAUCCCGCAACAACGCGCAGGUCACACUUCCCGCAGCAACGCACGGGUUAUGCUUUCCAGUAGUAACUAAAGUCUGCUUAGUAGGCCUCCAAGAAAUUGUGGUUUCACCAACAAUACCCGUUUAGGAUAUUGCCAUGCGGGGAUCAAAUAAGUACCCAGCAUCAACAUAACCAACAAAGGAAACUCGAGAACUGGGUGGAGGGGGUGAGGAAGGGACGGUUGCACUCGAAUUUGAGUAGGGAUAUGACAAGUCCAAGUCUCACAGUACCAUUAAGAUAACAUAGAAUUUAUGUAACACCUUUCAAUGUCUGCGUGUUGGCACAUGAUUGAGAUUUAUAAUGCAGGAGAUGUUAGGUCUUCUACACUGAGAUAAGUACAGCAAAGUACCAAUUGCAAUUAAGUAUGGAACCUCGGGUUCUUAAACCUCUUCAUCAUCUAUCUUUGGAUGGUAUAGGUCUCGUUGUGCAUCAAGCGUACGGAUGACCAUGAGUGUACUCAAAGGUAAUGCUUUAUCAUUAAAGCAAUGUAACACCAUCUUGGUGUAGUUUGACUAAUGGACAAGAAUGUUGGAUUGUGAACUAUCUUAGUACAUAUUUGUAGAAGUGUGGCGGGUGGCGUAAGCAUACAUAAUCAUUUAACAUGCAUGUUAGCGGAAUGUUGGAUUCCGUUUAAUUUAUGUAUUGGUUAUGUUCAGGUAUAAUAAAAUUAAGAACACAUGUAUAAACUUCUGAGUUUUAGAAUUCUAACCUUUAGAUUUCAUAGGCGGAUGCAUUCAAUAUUGUUAAGGCUCCAAAGUGUUACCCCUCUACCAGUAUCUACACGAAUAUAUCUCCAACUAGUGAAGCAAGAAGACGACAAUCUGCUAGAACUUUAUCCAUUAGGUAGGUGUUGCAACAAGGGGAUUUGGUAUGGUGUUUUGUUUUUCAAUUCUUUAAAUUGGAAAACCUAAUUCUUUUCUCUCUAAUUUCUAUUUCCGCUUUGUGAAUUCUCACACUAUGUUACAUAGAGCCCUUAGGCUUAAAAAGAGAACAAUUUCUAAUUAAGCCAAUAGGAUUACAGAUUAAUUCUCUACCACAAAUGUGUGUCGCACGCCUUGGGAAAAAUUUUGAGAAACUUUGGGGUUCACUAGUCUGUAUCACGUCACUCGCUCGUCUCAAGAAGAGAUUCUUUCACGUCACCAAUUUACCACACUACAAUUUUGAAUUUAUUAGAUGAAUAAUACAAUUUGUUUAAUAAAUGACCAACUUUACAAAUAUUUUUGUGAAGUGAUUUCACACAUUUUUUUAGCUUUUUUACAGACCCAUGUUUAAUUUUGGAUGUUGAUUCCGUUUGAUUUAUUCAUUCUGGUGGCCAUAAAUAAAGAGAGGUAUGUGAGAAACUAAAAAUGGUGCGUGAAAAUCCAUGACACUACUGAGCAUGAAUUUUAGUUAGAUGAAAAAAGACCUUACGCCUGACACAAGUGGGAGGACGUGACAUGAGUGCCUUUAUUCAAGGAUGAGGAAUGCUAAGGUGACUCUCAAAAGUAGGAAUCUCUGUCACCUCAUAGCUAGUUUAACGUCAAUUCAUUCAUGUGCCAGCAUUAUAAGACUAAUGUUAGGAAGACUACAUUUGUAGACAAAAUUUAUAAACUAAAUGACAUGGAAGCAGAUGAGUAGAUUAUUACUUAAGCGUUGAUAAAUGUGCUCAUUUCAUAUUGGUGACACGCCAUUUAGUUUGAAUUUUUUUUUCCACAAAUUUAGUCUAUCUAGCAUUACCCGCAUUAUAAGGUAUUGUGGUAAACAUAUGAGGUGACGGAGAGUUCAUAGAGAGUCUCAUUAGUAUUUCUCUUCAAGAAUUUAACCUCAUUCUCCCCACUUAAUAAUUUCACCAAAAAUGUUUUCUAAAUGCUCGCUUAUCAGGAUUAAGCCUCUGUUUGGUAUUGUUUUUUUUUCAUCAAAAGUUGCUUCACUUUAAAGUUAAGCAAUAAAAAUGUGUUUGGUAAAAAUAAAUUAUUUUGCUUAUAUUAAAAGUAAUGCAUGGCCUCCAGACAACAGCUUUUAAAAGCAGCAUGCAGGUAAAACUGCUUUAAUAAAAAGCUGAGUUGAGCCUUUAAUGAAUAUUUUUACUUCUUGUAAUACGCUCAAUAAUUUUUUCUUUUAAAAAAUAACAUUAUUUAUUCUUGUAGGCACAUUUUAUCAUUGGAGAACAAAGUGACCACCACUAUAAACCCUAACCUCUUACAUUACCAUUGCCAUGAUCACCACCAUUGUUGCCAUGACCACCACACUACAAUUGCACCACGACCACCACUAUAAACCCUAACCUCUUACACUACCAUUGCCAUGAUCACCACCACUGUUACCACCACCACACUUCAAUUGCGCCACGACCACCACAACCAUACGCACCACCACUACCAUUGCUAUUGUUACCACCAUGCCACUACCGCCACCACCACCACCAUAAAUACAACAACCGCUACCACUACUACCACAACCACCACCAUCGUUGUUAUCACCACCCCUACCACCAAUGUUGCCUCUGUAGCCCAACCACCACACCUCUUUAUUGGCACCAUGACCACGACCACGACCAUCACCACAACCCUACCAUCACAACCCCUUGCCCUUAUCAUUAUUGUCAUCGUCACCACCAACAUUGUUACGUUUAUUUUUGUCAUUAUAUACAAUUAUAAAAUAUCAAACGCUUUUACACUAUUUUUCAUAUUCACAACACUUUUAAAAAUACAGUUCAUCAAGCACUCAACUGCUUUAUUUUGUAGCAAAUUAUUCUUAAAGCACAUCAGAAGCAGUUUUUUAAAAAGCACAUCAAUCUCAAAAUGGCCGUAAUAUUAUGAGUUUUUUUAAUUGAGGUAAAUAUAUUAUGUAUUUGACCAAAACGAUUUUAAAUAAUUUGUAAUAAGAUGACGCGAAAAAAGAGCAGAAAUGCAACACAUGAAAUAAAACCAAAGCAAAGAGAUUUGAGGUUGAUUUUCAUUCCUUACAACAUUUUUAAAACAUUUCAAUUUCAUACCUUUACUUAUCAUUUUAUUUCAAUUUCAUACAUCCGUUAGAAAAUAUGUUAAGUAAACCGUUAAGUGAUGACGUGGCAAAUAUAAGGUCCCCAUUUGUGUUGAUGUGGCUGCCACAUUUGUGCCAUGUAGCUAAAAACUGAAUAAUUUUUUUUUAAAAAUAAUUAUUUAAAAAAAGUUAUAAAAAAAAAACACAGAUCCCCCUUCUUCCCCCGAAUCCCCACCCAUGCCCACCCUCCCAACCCCCAGCACCCACCCGGGCCACCCCUUCCUCCAUCCCACAUCACCAACAACCACUUACCUCCCCACUGCGCCUCCAUCUCCGACGAGAGCCUUCCUGCCGAGCUCUUCCCCCAGUACACCGGUAAAACUCGUCGGCAAAGUAGCUCCGUGUCGGAGCUUGUCGAAUCGACGUUUGUGGUUCAUUUUUCUCCAAACUGACGUCAUAGAUGAGUUCAAAGGGAAAGAGACUUUAAUGGCAAAGGGAAAGAAACUUUAAUGGCGGUGUUGGUGGUCUGAAAUUCGUCAGAGAUGGUGGUGGUCUUUAUCGACCCGAUCGAUCGAGGUUUUCUUCGAGUGAGGGAGAAUGUCGAGAGAGAAUGAGAUAGUUGGGGAAGAUAGUGGUGCGAGAGAAAUAGUGUUCGGGGUGAGAGAAAGGGUGGGGGAUGGGGAAAAGGGUGGGGGAUGGGGAAAGGGGUGGGUGAUGAAGGGUGGGGAUUCCGGGGAAGAAGGGGAUAUGUUUUUUUUCUUUUCGUUUUUUGUUUUUAACCUUUCUUUAUAUAACUAUUUUAAUAUUUUAAAUAUUUUAUUAAGUUUUUUUUACAUGUGGUACAAAUGUGGCAGCCAUGUCAGCACAAAUGGGGACACCAUAUUUGCCACGUCAUCACUUAAUGGUUUACUUAACAGAUUUUCUAACGGAGGUAUGAAAUUAAAAUAAAAUGAUAAAUAAAUGUAUGAAAUUGAAAUGUUUUAAAGAUUUUGUAAAGAAUUGAAAUCGACCUUAAACUUGAAAAGGUAAAAUGUAAUUUACCCUAUAUUUUUUGUUGGUUUAUCAUUUUCACCAAGCUUCACCUCAUCAAUACUUAAAGAAAUGUAUUAUGUUCUGAUCUAGAAACCAAGCUCCGCCUCAUCAAUACUUGAAUAAUUUGAUGCAUCAUGCAUUACUUUUGUUUCCUUUUGAAGGCCCAAACAAGAAACAAAGCAACACAAGACAAAGACAAUUACCGUUUAAUGGGUGUUUUAGAAACUCAAAAGCUUCAAUUUGUUUUGAGAAUCCAUUUGUUUGGAAUAAUGCUUGGGAGACUAAAAUUUUUAAAUUAAAUGAUGUGUCACCAAUUUUAACUUCCUCUUUUACUGUUAUACAAGCGAAAACGAGAGAGAUUUAAUAUGAGUAAAGGGAUACUUUACUUCUUGAGAUACAAGUUUAUUGUUAUAAUUUAGCAAGGUUUCUUCUAAGGAUCUUGGCUUUCUUUAUCUGUAAAAAAGUUGGGGUUUUGGUUGUUUAAUUAUUUUCUACCAGAAUUGCAAGAUAAAAAGGGAUACAAAGGAGAAGUGACAUAUGUAUAUGUAUAUAUAUAUAUAUAUAUAUAUAUAUGUUUUUUUGUCUCUUAUCAAUUAGGGUUUCUACAAUUCUUGUCGGAUUCUUUACCUAAGUUUUUAUUUGUCAGAUUAGUCACGAAAGUUCACUGUCAAAUUAAAUGAAAGGUAAUGAAAGUAGAAAACAGAAAACAAAUUAUCGGAGUUGACUGCUGGUAUGAUGAAUUAGUUGAAUAUCAUAGUGCACAAUGAACAAGACUACACAAUAAUAAAAAUAUUAUUAAAUAAACAAGAACACUGAAACGACUACAUAACACUAAGAAGCUACAUUGUGACUAACUUAUUCACGAUUGAAUAAAAAACAUGCUAUUUAUAAUAAACUAGUCCUAACUCUAAAAGGUAAUAAACCAAAACCUUAAUGCUAAUGGGCUAAACCCAGAAAACCAAAUAUUAAAGUAAACUUAAAUAUUAAUGUUUUCCAACACCUUCCGUCAAACUAAUGGCGGUAUACGACAUGAGUUUGCAAACAAGCAGUUGCGGACUGGCUCUGUUAGGCGGGCAUACAGGCAGGCUCCUCAACACGAACAGACAGGCAAGCUCUGCAACGCGGACAAACAAGCUCCGCAACCCCGCGGACAGAAAAAAGCAACAAUCCCAAAAGUGAUUCCAAAAAUCAAACCGAUAAUAUAGAUUGCAAGCUUUGUCUUGAAGCCAACAUUUCCAAAUUGAUGGUUCCAAAGUGUUGACAAAAGCACUGGUGCUAGUGUCACUGAAGCAACUGCAUAUGGCUUACACCAUCUUUCUUCACAAACAACAGGAAUAGUCAAUCUCCUAGGCAGAUAAAGCGGAGCUCAAGUAUGAAAAUCAGCGUGCGAAAAAAAGCCGAUGAUCUAAGAUUGGAGCAGCAUUUCUUGACUUCUACUACUUCAGAACUGCCUUGUGCAGCUCCUUCCUCUGCAGCACUGAGAUCUUCCUCUUCAAUGCUGAUAAGAAUUGGCACAGUCAAGUCACUCUCAUUGCUCGAAUUACGGCUCAAUUCAACGCUUUUCUUCCAAUGUGUGUGUGAGACGUAAACCACAAUCACAUAAGCAAUAUAGAGUGAAGAGAGAGCCAUUGCAGCCCACACAUCUAUUUCCUUGUGAAUCAAGAUAACACCCAAACAUACAAUGACCAAAAGGUAGAAGCAAAUAUCUCUCACAAAGUCCGCUUUGUGAACUCGAAUGCGCCUUUUGCUCAUUGAAAUGCUUAAGAUUCCAACCACAGCACAAGACACAAAGGAAGCACCCCCCAGAACUGUAUUAAGACCAAUUUCGCCAGUCCCGCCACCCAUAAACGAAACAAGACUGGAAAACACAUCAGGGGCUCCAUUGCCAAGAGAAAGCAGAGUUACCCCAGCAAUUGUGGGGGACAAUUUUAACAACCUAGAUAAACUAUCAAGUGAAGAACAUAAGUACUCAGAAGCUGUGUUCCCCAACACAUAGAACAAAACCAGAAGCCAAAGAAACAUACAGCAAUAACCCAAUUGAGGAAAAGUUCCAAAAUUGCAGUAGAAAAUGUUUAGAUAGUUUAUAUAGCCUUGGGAGACACAUGGGUUGUUGGAUUUAAGGUAAAAGCACUUUGCUUUGUAGUCAUCUAAACUAAGAAAACCCUUGCAAUCUAGUGAACCAGAAAUUCUGGAAACCCCAGAAGUGCUUAGAACCAGAAAAUCUGGAGCAUAGGAAUGUACAACCAAGAAAGCGCAUCCCACU